rnacentral:lncRNA from 1 species
AAAACACUAAUCAAUUGGCAAAGCUGGUAAACAUAAUUGAUAAAAUGGGUGAUAAAAUGAUGCUCCCAUCAAAGUAAAAGCCCUGACUCCAAGCUUAGAUACUACAGGGAAGGUUCUCAGCAUUGAGAAAACCAGAUGAGAUUCUCCUGCAGGUUUCUCACUGACAACAGAACUGGGUAUUGACUGCCAUGAAAAGAAUAUGCUGAAGUUCUCUGUAUCCCAGGAGAAGUGACUGUGAAGGAGAGUUCCCAGCUCAGCAUGACACACAUUGUAAUAAGUUGGCAUUUAUAUCAAGGUCUGCCACUCCCUUUACUGAGGAAUUUUGGCUCUGCUCACCUCUGUCCAGGGUGUAUGCUUUGAGCUGGAGAUAUAGCCAACAAACAAUCUACUCCAACCAGUCCUCAGACCAAAUUUUCAUCUUAUAGCACAGAUAUAAUGGGACCGUUUGGUUUUGGGUUUUUUCCUAGGCUGAUCUGCUCAAAAUCUUUUAGCAGUCCCAGAAGGAUACAGCAAGUCUUGGCUGAAAGCACAUCCUGACUUCAGCCUCAGGGAAAGCACAUUGUCAUUGCUCUGCAAAAUUCCCCAGCCUGUAUUAAAGGGACAAAGUCACA